UUACGGGCUUUGCGUUAGUCGUUCACGACCAUUGUAGUGUACCGUAAUUUAUGUUUUAACAGUUCGUGAUAAGUACUGUCUCUAAAAAUACAAGAAAAAUUGUUAUUUUAUAUCUUCAAUAAUUUAUUAUUUAUUUCGGCCAUACCAUGGACGAUUUACAGAAUUACAAAUUGCAACUUCAACAGGUAGAAGCAGCUCUUACGACAGACCCAACCAAUGAAGAACUUUUAAAAUUAAAAAUCGAUCUCGAGGAAGUAAUAGAGCUGACACAUGAUUUAAUUAAAUCACAACAACAGGAAAAAAGGCAAGCCAAUGGCAUGGAUGCUAAAGAUCCUAUUUUGCUUGCAGUGUUAGCCAAUAAAUGGAAAGUGGGCGAUCAAUGCAUGGCCCCAUGGAGCGAGGAUGGCAAGUAUUACGAGGCAACGAUAGAUGCAAUAAGUGAAGACGGAGUCGUGAACAUAACUUUCAAUGAGUACAAAAAUACUGAUGUUACGAUGCUUAGUCAACUCAAAUCAAUAGCUAAAAGGCCAGCAUCGGAUUGGGCAGAUCAGAAAUCAAAAAAAAUGCAAGCAGCUGCUAUUGCAGGAGCUGAUCCAAAUAAGCAAAGAGAAUAUCUUAAGAAAAAAAAACAAAGAAAGCUACAACGAUUCAAGGAACUUGAAGAAGAACGUGAAAUGGAAAAAAAUAAAUGGUUAGCUUUUACGAAUAAGUCGUCAAAGAAGGGUGUAAUAAAGAAAAGCAUAUUUGCAACACCAGAGAAUGUAAAUGGAAGAGUAGGUAUUGGUACAUGUGGCGUAAGUGGUCGAGAAAUGACUAAGUUUAGUAAUGGUGAAAAAUGGAGGAGAGGAGCGUGAAUAUUAAUGUAAAUAAAAAAUCACACAUUCUGUGAAAUAGAAUUUUGAAUUAUUGUUACAUUUGAUCAUUCAGUUCCUAUGAGAACUGAGAUUGUAUGUUUCGUUUGUGAGAAUGGUCAAUAGGCACGGAAAAAUGAAAUAAUCAAUAAUAAUAUCUGAGUGUGCACAGGUAUGUAUAAGUUUAUUGAACGAAAAAUUUCACUUUAAUAAAUUCUGACAUUAUUUUGCAUUUUUAAACCUACACUAUUGAAGGAUGAGUGUCAUGAAUGAGUGUUUCUAGAUUAAUGUCUUUUAAAUAUCGAUUUGUGAAGUUUAACGACCAUUUGGAGUGAUAAGAAGAAUAACAAACGACUGGAGAAUUCAGCCUAUUUUGAUAAGUGACAUUGUAACAUGAUAUUUUGAUAAAUCAGCAUCUUGGCUCUUUUAAAAAAUAA